CCAAAUCCCUCGUCGUUCCUAGGCUGAUGCGCCCCAAAUCCGUCGCCAACCUGCUGCGCCCCAAAUCCUCGUCGCCGGAUGCGCCUCCUCCAACCUCUCGCCCGCCCCAUUCGCUAUGUUCGCUGGGUUGCCGAACAAGGAAUGGUCGCCUUCGGAAUAUCGCCGUCAACUUCGCCUCUACCUCCAGAGGGUCGUCGUCAAAGUACCCGCCGGUGUCGUCAGUCGAUUGCUAUCGCAUCCUUGUUUGAGUGCCACCCCUUUCCAUCCAGGUACCACCCUUCCAGAUCCAUUUUUUUUGUAUUCCCUUCUUUAGGAUUUGUUUCCAUUUCCUGAUAAAAUUCAUAUGUGAGUACCCCCGACUAGAUUCACCAGAAAAUAACGAGAAUUGUCUCCUUCCUCAUUUGCUGGGUACUGAUAGAAGGAAAUGACUUUAUACAGACAUUGGUUUUGAAUAGGCCAAGGUAGUUGAUGUCUCUCCUCUGCAACCGUAUGUCUGCAAGAGAUUCUACUAGUACUAGAACCACAACUGCUUUUAGAAAGUCUGAUAUAUUUUGAUUUUCAUCUUCAAGGUUACAGGACUCCUAAAACAUCACUUCUUCAGAGGAGGGAAACAGAGUUGAACUGUUAAUUGUAAAGGUAAUGGACAAUACUGCAUGCUUGUUAUCAUUUAAUAUAUCACUGGUUUCUCAAAUAUAGCUCUGCAUAUCUUCUUUUCUGGUUCUGUAAUCGUGGGUCACCCCUUCCAAUAUUUGUAUGUUGUGUAUCAACAUGUAACCGGAAGUUGAAACUAUUGAGUAAGCAGUAACAGUGAACAUUGGUUACCCAGUUAAUUUUCUCAAGAUCGAGCAAUAAAUAAGAAUCUUGAAAAAGUCAUUAGCAGGUUCUAUACAUAAACUAUUUUUUGUCUUGUGUUGGGACACAUGGUGCAUAAGGUUUUUUACUUGUGCUUUCGCCCUUCCAAAGUUUACCAUGAAUGUAUGGCAUGCUUUCUCCUAUAUAUUACAGUAAUAUUCAAAGUUUACCAUGAAUAAUUGGGGUCCUUUAUUGUCUCACCUUGCAGUACUGUAAAAUGUAUUAUCUAGUAUUGUUUGUCAAUAGCUUUUGGUUUCAUGCUCUUUCAUUCUGUUAUGAUUUAGGGACAAUUGAUCCAUCGCAUGGAAAGUACAAGGAAGAUGAUCAGCACAACAAGGAAGAUCAAUAAAGGCAAGAAAUUAUAAAUAUUCUUCUGAAUAAAGAGGUACUGUUCCCUACUGUUACAUUAUUGAAUAAUUUCAUAAUGCUUUGGUUUUCACUGUUAUGGAGAUGACUCUGCCCAUUUUUCUCGAACAUCUGAAAUGGGUAGACUUAACUCCUUGUUAUUUUCUUAUUAUACAAUUUUGUGGUAAUGCAUCAUUGAGCAGUUGCACUUAAGAAUAUUUAUGUUGGUACCGUGAUAAGAGCCUGACUUGCAAGAAGCCUCUAAUAUCUCAUCUAUUCAGAUUGUUAGCUGUUUUAACUAAUUCAGAAGCAUGUGGUUAGGUUGCCAUUUGAAUGGAUUUUUUCAAUUGCAUGGUUUGUAUAAAUCUGAGAUAUGAUUCUAGAACAAAUUACUCCAUUAUUUUUCCAUAUAGCUGAAAAAUUAGGCAACUUUGCUGUGACAAAAACAAGUUGGGCAUAUAUGCCACUGUUAUUGCGAGAAACUAAGAUAUCAGAUCGAUUAUGCUUAUUAGAUCUUAUAGAUAACUUUGCUGUGACAAAAACAAGUUGGGCAUAUAUGCCACUGUUAUUGCGAGAAACUGAGAUAUCAGAUCGAUUAUGCUUAUUAUAUCUUAUAGAUAUUGUUCAUGUUUCUUGAUACCAUUUUGUAGCAAAGUGUUGACACUUGCACUUUUUUAUGCGAGACACUUGCACCCUUUUACAAGUUCAUUUAUGUCCACUGCAGGGUAACCUUGAAGAGAAGGUUGCAACUUAAGCUGUAACAAAACAUUAUGAAAAGAGGUCUCACGCCGUGAAUAUUUAGUUGAUGCACUAGUGUUUUUAGAUGUUGCGCCUCUGUUUUCAUUGUCCUUUGAUUCAUGUAUGCAAGUUCGAUGGAAUUGUAUCCGAAGUAUGUGAAUUGGUAACUCUAUGGUUGAUGGAAUUGAUAGUGAUGUUUCUCUGUUCUAAACAUUCAGAGUAAUGAAAUGGCUAUGUCUAAGAC
rnacentral:lncRNA from 1 species